GUGCUCACUUCAGGAGCACAUAUAUUAAAAUUGGAAUGAUACAGAGAAGAUUAGCAUGGCCCUUGAGCAAGGAUGACAUGAUAAUUUGUGAAGCAUUCCGUAUUUUG
ensembl:snRNA U6 U6 spliceosomal RNA